CCCUCCUGUGGCUGGUGGGGUUGUUCCCGGUGGAAGAAUAGGACCUACAAUUGGCAAAGGCGGCAAUGGCAGAUUGGGACCUACCACUGGAGGUAUGGGUAGCCCUGAAAUCGGAGGAAGGGGUAGCUUAGGGACGGUCACUGGAGGAACGGGUAGCUUAGGUACAGUUACCGGGGGAACGGGUAGCUUAGGGACUGUCACUGGAGGAACGGGUAGCUUGGGGACGGUCACUGGAGGAACGGGUAGCUUGGGGACGGUCACAGGAGGAACGGGUAGCUUAGGUACAGUCACUGGUGGAACGGGUAGCUUAGGGAUGGUCACAGGAGGAACGGGUAGCUUAGGGACGGUCACCGGAGGGACUGGUAGCUUAGGGACGGUCACCGGAGGAACUGGUAGCUUAGGGACGGUCACCGGAGGAACUGGUAGCUUAGGGGCUUUAGGGGAGUGCUUUCCGCCCUUCCGUGGGUUGCAAGAGCCGCAUGCGAGAGAAUGUUGGGGGAGAUAGAUAAUGCAAAUGAGGAAGAGGCAAAGAGAGAGAGAUGAGAGUUUGGAGGAGUCCAUGUUGAGUAGAGUGGAUGGUGUAACUAUACGAAAGAGUAUAUGAAUAUAUAGAGGGAAAAUGAGAAGAAGAAUUCACGUGAAGAUGGGGGCUACUUCUGCAAUAAGAAGAGACGCCCCAAAAUAAGCAUGGUUGGCAAUUAUCAUAAGAAUACAAGAUUUCCUUGAUGACCCAUCGCUAUAUAUCAUCACAUGUCGACCACACUUUUUUCACUUUUUUUUUUCUAAGUGCCUCUUGUUCUUGGGUUAACUACAACUUUUAACAACGUGUAACUUCAGUUUCAACAGUACAGUACAUUUAACUUGUAGGAAUUGUAAUGAAUCAACUUAGCGAGACUAGGUCAUUAUGAGAUAUCAUCAAUACUAAAUAACAUUUUGAUGAUGUAAACACUCUAGGAAAAGCAGAUAAUAUAGUAUCAUAUGGUUUUCGCUUUAGUGUGUGGCUUCAUAAGCAUCUCCAUGCAUGAGUCGACUGCUAAGGAACAUAUAGAUCUGCACCAUAGUGAAGACGGCUUAGUCUAUUCAAAACACUAAUGUUGUGCCUUUCGAGGACCUCCCGAGACUCGAAUUCGAAUGCACUCUCCAAAGGUAUUAUGUUAGGGAAAAAACCUUAUUAAACCAAAUAUGUUACUGUUUAACCCAUACACGAAAAUUAGAUAUAUAAAUGUUGAACAAAUAGCAUAUAGUUAUAUCCAAUAUAUACGUACAUGAGAGGUAAAGAAGACAGCAAGACUGACAUGUGAAAUUCGGGAUACACUUUUGUUGUUUGGUGAUUUUGUUACGUAGUGUCAUUAAAGAAACGAUCAUGUGUGCGUGGACCAUCUUCUUCUUUUUACCGCUCAUUUCCCUUUUUACCAUAUCUACUACAAAAGAGUCCGAACUGACCAUUUAAUGAACGAGUACCAUUCAAUUCAUAAACUCCCCGUAUCAAUCUAACUGACACUGUAAAAGUUAUAAUGUUAAUAUAUAAAAAUAAUAUGGUUAUUUAGCAUGAAUAAUAACUUUUUAUAAUUGAGAGUAUGUCUAGCUAACAUUGGUGAUUGGUGCUUACAUAAAUCAUAUUUUUCAAACCACUUAACAAGAACUUUACAUAUUCAAUGAUAAACGAAUCACAUUUAUACAAUAUACCAUUCAAAAAUAAUAUUGUAAGAUGAUUUGAAAUUAAACGAUUGUAAUAUAUAAUGUGUUAAAAGUAAUGUAUUAUAGAUAUCUUGUAAUUAUUUAAAGGGUUUUGUGCAAAAAAAAAAACCACUAACUCAUACAUUUUUCCAAUUUACUAUCCAGCUCUAAUAAAUGCACAUUAAUCCUAUGAAUCUAAAAUAAUACGCAUUGUAACCCUUUUUGACCAUUUUUUGCUACCAUCAAUUUUGUAAAAUAUUGAUAUAUAAUAUGUUAAAUCAAAGCUCUCGCGACCAAGAGUUCAACUCUACCUUUAAAAAUUUUAAAAUGUAAUGUAUGUAACCGUAAAAACGCUUGUAAUAUGCAUAUGAAAUUUAUAUUACAUAUUAUGUUAAACUUCAUAAGAUUAAUCUGCAUUUGUUGGUAGUGCAUUUGUUAGAGGUGGAAGGUAAUGUUGCAAAAAUAGAUGAGUUAAAAGAUUUCUUUUUGCACAAAACCCUUUAUUUAAACUACUAACAAUAUAAUAUAUAAAUAAUUUAAAACAUAUAUCUCUAUAAUUCAUGAAGUAAUAAUGGUGUACCCUAUCCUUACCAACGAAUAAUAAAGAAAUGAUAUUAACUCUGAUUCAAAAGCUAUAUAUAAGAUAUUCUUUUUUUUUCCUCGGGAGGGAUACGAAUCCGGUAACAUGAAUCAGUGUCCAAUAAGAGCCAGUGGUCGUAAAUUCCAAAUGACAGAUGGAUGACUCAUUUUAAUUCGUAACUUUUGUCAGCUGCGAUAUAUGCUAAUGAAACCUGAGGUGCUAGAUUUUGAUUUUAAUGGCUUUAGAUUCUUACUCAACACUCAAUGGCCCACUCGUUAAUCUCUUACCUUCUAAAGUGAGUUAUGAUCCACUGCUUCUUUCUUCUUGUAGAUAGAUGGACCUGUUUUUUUUAGGUUGUGAUUUGUGGACAUUAAUCAACAACCCAUGUUUAUACGUGAUAAUGUCUGGAGCUAUAUGUAAAGGCGAUAUGGAGGACAACAUUCCUCUAUUCUAACUUUAAAAGCCAUGUAGUUAGGGCUGGACACCAAUAUUCUUUUUUUUUUUGCUAAAUUGUAAAUAUCAUUUUGAUGAAAAAUCAGGUUUUACAACAGUUGUAUAACCUAAAACAUUUGAACUCUUUGGCAAAAAAGAAUAAAAAAACGAAGAGCCAAUCGAGAGCUGCAUAGAACUCGGUAGUUUCAUAGCAGCCACAACGCUAUUAACUUGCGAAAAAGGAGUCUGUUUCUUCUUGAGGUGAUAACGUUUUUGAUUUUGCGGUUGAUGCACUUGAAUAUAGAAUGCGGAGAGAGGGAAGUAGCGUUGUGCAGGACAUUGUUAGGCUGCUUCAAGAUGUGGAAGACCUUAGACUGAACGACAAUAAUUUUAAGAACUGAUGAAGCCAAUAUUCAUCAUUUUCAAACAAAAAAUAUCUUUUGUUUGACACCAAUAUCCUUGACCAGCUUCAAACAAAGGAUAUACAUCAUUUUUAAGUCGGGUAAGGCAAAUGAGUAUAAGGAUUCUCAUUACACAUCUGGUUGCCAAAAACUUUUAGUCAAAUACUAGUUACAAUCUCAGUUUUUUACCCCAAACUUUUUGCCACUUAAAAAACUAGGGGUGGGCAUUCGGGUAAGCGGGUCGGGUUCGGGUUCGGGUAAAACCCGAUCAGGUAUAAAGAAGUUUAGGAUCUAAUAGGGUAAAUCUAAAAUAUCGGUUCGGUUUCGAUUCGGGUCCAACCGGGUUCGGAUAUAGAUUUGUGGCCUUUUUUUAUCCAGAUUUUUCGGGUAAAAUUUUGGAUUUCGGAUAAAAUUUAGAUUUUUGAAUAAAAUAUUUGGGUAUUUUCGGGUUCGAGUUUGUUUUUUCGGGUAGAGAAAUUUAGGAUCCAGUAAAGUACAUCUUCGGAUUUGGAUUAAGUUUCAGCUCUAAUUUUUCGAGUUAGUUUCGGUUCGGAUAAUCGGUUCUGGUUUUUUGGCCCGGCUCUAUAGAAAACCAUCAAUAAAUAUUUUAAUCCUAUUUCUGCCUCAUUACUCGAGAAAAUAUUCGACCCGUUUUAUUACUUGAUAAAUUUACAACUAUAUAUUUAUGUAAUCUAUUUCAUAUUAGUAAAAUAUAUUAAAUUUGUUAUUAAAACCAAAUAUCUUUUGAGAUUAGGGCAAUCAAAAGUUAAGGUCAAGCAAAUGUCUCCUUUCUAAAUGUUUUUGUGGGUAACGGUAAAGGACAAAUAUACAGCCCAUGCCCAGACCUACAAGUAGCGACUCCAUUACUACACAGUAAGAUUUUUAUUAAUAAAAAUGUGCAUGGUUUCAUUUAAAAGUCAUUGCUAACACUUCACUUUACAGUAAUAUUCAAUUUCAUACCUUUAAACGUUAAUCAGAAUCGCCAAUUGGAAGCCAGUCACUGGAAUCACCUUCCGAAUCCUUGCUAUGUCCAACUUGGCUCUUGCUGAGCUGAACCCAGCUUGACCCGCUUGCGUUUGAUGCUGGUCUUUUCAGUGUACUCCUGUUGGGACUUGGCUUCUCCGAGAGAUCAUCGACAUCUAAAUCACUAAAGGAGAUUACCUCUUCAUCUCUGAAACUCCUCCGUUGUUCUUCAGAUGACUCAUCACUUAUCUCCCUUUGCUCAAUUUUUAGAGUCUCUAUCUUGUCAAUGACUCCCUCAACGGUUUCUGUUUCCCUACUGCUACCUUCUUCAGGAGUUUCGUGACCAGUAGUGCUCUUGCUUGACCCUGUCUCUUUCUUUUGCAGCUUUAGUAAAAGUUGAUCCCUUGUUUCAAAUACCUGUGCCGCACAAUAUAGUUAUUAAAGUUUCAGAAAUAGGUACAAUAGUAACUUGGGAAAAAAUGCAGAGCAUAAAAGAUAUAAAACAAUCCAAUUUUAAAAGCAUCAGGCAAAAAUACAUUUUUUCCUGAGGCUAUACUUGUUCUUAUUGCAAUCGGUUGAAGGGGUCAUUAUAGCAUAAACGUUUACGAUUUUAAUAAUAUUGGAUCAAUACUGACAUUUCAGAAGAAUGUAUUUCCAGUAUACAGUCUUACCUUGCAUGUUGCUAAGAGUUCAAAAUCAUGCCCAUUCAGUCUCGGCAUCAGCAAAAUAAAAUAAAUCAGCCAGAAGUGUUCAUCAUCCAUGUAACUACUAACUUGAUUCUUCACAGCUACAAGGCCAGGAACCAAAUCUUCAAUGGCUGAUGCAUGUGCCCUUUGAGCCUCAGACAGUUCAAAUUCUGCAAUGUGGACAUGAAAAGUUGGAGAAAAACUUCAGCAUAAUUCAGUAGGUAAAAUUGAUGUAAACCACCAAUGCUUUUUAUCAGGAAGUGUUUCGACAACAUUUUCAAGCAAACCAAGCCUAUAUACAAAAGGUUGUACAGGAUGACGAUAUGCUUCGCAAUAAAAUAAAUAAAAAGAUUUAAGUGGCAUAUGGAUUGAACUAUAUAUAUAUAUAUAUAUAUAUAUAUAUAUCCCAAGAAGAGACUGCAGACCCCGUCAAGUUUAUUCGUAAUUCCUGGAGAUCUAUCUAAAGAACAGGGACUUCAAAAAAAAAAAUUAACUGCAGAAACAAUCAAUCUUGUCCAAACAGGUCUAGAAUAAAACACAUCAAGAGUUAAAGACUGAAGCAUAAUCAUCUUUGGCGACUGAAAACAAGUCAACUAUAUUUCCAAGAACAAUCAUGUUUAUUCCUGCAUGGCUGCAAGUUCGUCGACAAUAUCUUCAAGGUAUGAAAAAUGUGAUCUACAGAGAGUAAUGGGACCCCGAGAUCCUAAAGACCUGAGCUUGAAGAAAUAUAUCCCAAGAGGAGAUGGCAGGACCGGUCUAACCUAAUCUAAAAUACUAGGAAAUCUCUCUAAAGAACACCAGAGGCUACAAGCAAUCAACUGUACAAACAAAAAAAAUAUUUUCCUAAUAAAUCACAGUAAGAAAAUCAUAACUAAACAUAGAUAGUUAGAAACCACCAAUGCGGUGCUUCGACUAUACUUUCAAACUAACAAAGCCUAUAUACUGGGAACAAAAAUAUGCUUGAAGAAAUAUGUCCAAAUAAGCUUAAUCUGUAACCCUAGUGAUCCCACUAGAAAGCCAAUCAACUGUAGAAGCAAUCAAUCUUUUCCAAAUAAAACCUAUUUUAGUAACAAUUAUGUUUGCCUACUGGGAAAAAAAAAAGUCAAUGCAGAGCUUAAGACUAUUGAGAAUCAAGCUUUAUGAUUCCUCUAUUGACUAUACAGGAGCAUUACCAGUAUCGAGUGACAAUGGAAAAUCUGUCCAACAACCAGGUUUCGUCGAGAUUUUAACAGCGAAAUCGACUACUUCUUCAGAGAUUCCAGGAACUUGAUCGUUCAACGGAGAUCUUCUACUACUUUCUCUAUCUCUUAGAUUACUAGGAAAUUGGAGUAAAUUAGAUGCGAAAUUGGAGAAAUUUCCACGAAUCUCGGCUAGAUCGUUGCGGAUCCCGAGAAGACCUAGCUGAGUUGGUGAAUUAUCAGAGGAGAGUCGGCGUUCGUUUACAGGUGGAGAAGGAGGCGGUGCCAGGAAAGCUGCGACGCCACGGAGUAAGGAAGAUAAAUCUUCUUUGACACCGCCAUGAGUUGUGGAAGGAUCGGGAUCGGGAUCGUGAUCGUCAUCGCCGCGAGAUUUGAAGAGCCAAGACAUGGUUUUUGAGUGAGAGAGGUUGGAUUUGGGGUUUUCAGUUUUUUUUGCACGGGGUUACGAAUAGCAAGAGAGAAGAAACGGUACGUUUUAAUACCUUUCCAAAACGCACCGUUUGUUGUUUGUUCGUUUUGAUACCUUCCCAAACGUGAAAUAAACGAACAAUAAUUAUACAAAAUAAACGGAAACAAAACCUACUUUUUAAAACGGGAAAAUAUCGUUUUAUACGUGAUGUUUUUAAGAAUGGUCAUUUUAUAUGUAAACUUUUAGAUCGAUCAAAUAAAAUAUGAUAAAAAUGUUGAUCCGCUAUUUAAACAAAACAUAAAGUUUGCCUGGCCAAAAUUUCCGAAAUGUUAACUUGUAUUAACGGAUCUGAUAACCCUCGUUAGCAGACGUUAGUCGUCUUCCGUUAAUACCAAACGAUUUUUUGUGAUGAGUACAAACCUUAAAAUUCCCAAAUCGAUUUUUCAUUCCCUAAUUCUUCAUAAUCCCCAAAAUUUGAACUAUUCUCGAUAUAUUUUUUUUGAGCUCAAAAUCUCCAUUUUGUGUAGAUAUGAGUUUAAAAAAUUUGAGUGUUCAAGAAGGAGGAAGUGGGAACCUUGGGUUUCCUUCAAAGUGUCAUUGGGGGAGAGAUUUCAUCAUCUAUAUAUCAAGCUCGACGAAGAACCCAAGAAGAUCCUUCUUCUGUUGUCCAACAUAUCAAGAUGUAAGUAGAUUUGAAUUUGUUUUUUUUGGUGUUUGAUCGGUAAAAAGUUGUCGUUGUAAAUGCAGGACCAUUUGUUUAAGUGAGUCGAAGAUUGUGUGUAUGAAGAGGUUGUAGAUGCAAUACUGAUAAUCUCUAUGAUUGAUAGCUAGAUAAACAAUGUCAAAUUUCAGGUUGUAGUCGAGAUUGCAGAAUUAAAGGUUUUGAUCCAAGAAUUGAAGGAAGAUGAAAUGUGGAGCAAAAUGGAAUUGAAGAUAUGGAAAUCGAUGACCAAAUUGUGCUUGGUGUGCCUUUGUAUAACAGUCAUUGCAAUUAUGAUCAUAAUGUUCUAUAAGACCAAAAACCAUAAGCUUGUUCUUGGUUACUAGUGUUUUGUGUUUGUAAUAAAAUGUUUUUAUGGUACUGAAAUGUUUGUUUGGCAAUGAUAAUCAGUCCUAGUGUUUUGUCUUAGUGUUGUGAUUGUAAUGAAAUGCUACUAGAUGCUUGUUUAACAAUGAGAAUCACCAAAAUGAAACUCAUUCAUACAUUAUAAAACUUGUGUCACAAAGACAAGUCGAAACCACAAAAUGAAAUCGAUACUAAGCUUAUGUCAUAAAGACAAAUCCAUUAUGUCAACCACCAAAAAUAAACUUAUGAGAAAGCUUAAGUUCAAACAACAACAAAAAGAAACUUGUGACUAAUCUUGUCUUGAACACUCAAACCAUGAUGCAAAUCCACCAAGUCCUUGUGGUUGAGCAUGUGGCUCAGUUUGUGCUUGUGCUUGUGGUUCUGUUUGGGAUUGUACUUGUGAUGCUCCACCUGUCUCCCUUGGUCUUUCUGAUGUUCCGCCUGUUGCCCUUGGUCCUUGUGAUCGAAUAUGAGAUUGUGAUCCUUGAUGAGGUUGUGAUCCGUGUAUUUGCUCUUGCGAUUCGAGCACUUGAGAUCGUGAUCCUUAAUGAGAUUGUGAACUUUGAUGAGGUUGUGAUCUUAGCACUUGUGAUUCCUCCUAAGUUAAAUAUGACAGUCUGAACAGUUGCAUGAUUAAGUGAGUUGUAAAACAUAUAAAAAAAAACAAGAAUACAAACCUGAUUUAUUCGUGGAUGACCUCUUGGUCUCUUUGGUGGAAUCAGAAUAGUGGCAUUUUUGCAGCUUUGCUUGUUUGCCCUUGUUGAAGGCAGUUAGAGCAUGUCAUGAUUCUCUUUUGCAGUGGCAUCUUGUUCUUAUUUGAAGAAGAAGAAGUCUCAUUUCUUCCUUUUCUCCUAACAUAAUUACUCGGUCUUCCAACAUUUCCUUUUGUCCAUGGUGGUGGCAAAACAGGGAGCCUAUUGGUUUUAGGCCACAAUGGCAUACCUUGGACAAGGCUAAUACCAUCUUUAUAAGUUUUUCGCCAGAUUACCUUUGUGUAAAACUUGCUCACAUAGUCUGCAACUGUUUCUCUUCUUCCUAUUAUCACAGGUGUCGCAUAAAUACAUGGGAUCCCCACCAUCUACCACUUCCUGCGACCACAAGUUCUCUUCUCCGUAUCAACAUAGUAGCUAACACCAUUCACAUCAAUUUGAUACAAAUUGUUUCUGGACAUAUAUCUCUCGCAAUUUCUAACCCCAACUAUCAUUUUCUCAAUCUCAAGAUGGGCUCUCUUUGUGAACCUUGUCUUCAAUUUGUCAGCAAUGAUAUACGUCUUCGUAGUUAUGACCAUGCAUUACCUCUGGAUGUACUCUAGCUAAUCCAACAAAGGCUUUCUCCUAGCCUGUUUAAUAGUCUUAUUAAAAGACUCACACUGAUUAUUGAGGCUGUCAUUGCAACGUGUCCAAUUCUAAAGAAGGCUCUCGACCAUGUCAUUGGACUAGUAAGUUGCGAGUGGCAUGCGCAUGAGGAUUGUAUCUCUUUAGCUCUUCCAUAUUAUUCAUGAACACUUCUUCAGUGUAGCUUCAAAUUGUUUUUCAAAGAGACAUUGUAGUUCUAUCUCAUGGUUGUCUCUCUUCCAAUUGUCCAUUAUAUGCCUUGAAUAUUGUCGAUGCUCAACUUCUGGAAGUAUGGUAUUGAUAGCUUUGACUAGACCCUGUAAAAUAACACAAAAACAUAAGCGUAAACCCUUCAUAAAAGACAUUAAACUGAAGCAAAAGAUGAUAAAAUUAACUGAUUAUUUAUCUGAAAUGAUAACUAGAUGUUGCAUUUCACAGUCCCAAACUAGUAGAGAGCUGUCUCAAAAACCAGUCCCAAUUAUCAUUGUUUUCUAUCUCAACAACUGCCCAAGCUAUAGGAACAAUCCUCUUAUCUCCAUCUCUUCCAACUACAGCUAAAAGGUGACCUUUUACAUCCCAUUUUAGAAAACCCAUCUAUUCCUAUCACAGGUCUACAAGUUCGCUUCCAAGAAUCCUUUUGAGAUUUAAAGCAGAUAUAGCACCAGAGAAAAGAAUCCUUUUGUGAUAUAAAGCAGCUAUAGCAUCAGAGAAACCUUUGCUUGCUUCCAAUAAAAAGCCCUACUGUUGUCUCUAUCUCAAACUCUGUCUCUGGGUUCUACUUUAAAACCUCCGCUUGAUAAUCUCAUAUUCUUGAAAAGUGAUCAUUAUGAGUAGCAUGUCAUGCUUUCAACACUUUGGUCUUGGCCUUUGCACAUUGGUCUGGAGUCACAUCCAAAUUGAAUUCUCUCUGAAUCUCAACAACCAUCUCGUUCUUUGAAAUAUUUGGAUUCACUCUCAGCCUUUCAUCAAACAAAAGUGCAAUGGAAGACCGCUUCAACAUCUUUGAAUAUCCUGACCUAACACAAGUAUGCAUAUAAAAUCUUACUUGCAUCUUAUGUUUUGUCUUCUCAUACGAACAAUAUACUUUCCAACCACAUUUAACACCAUCAACACCAAUUUAUGACCACUUCGCAGCAACAACCAUAGAUUCAGACCCAUAAAGAGAAAUGGUAUACCAUGUCUUUAAAGAGUACAUCAAAAGAACACGCUUGAAGUCGUGUUUAUAUCCUCUUCACCGCGUAAACCACCAUUAUAAUCGUUAUCUCCACCACCAACCACAUCAUCAACGACAUUGCAGUCUUCAUCACCAUACACGGCGCAGUCUUCUUCAUUUUUCAGGGUCAGGCUCAAAUGUAGGUUCUUCAUCCUCCUCUUUUUAAUGUCUGACUCUUCUUCGUUUUUGUUUUCAAAGCCGCUUUGAAACUCGAGCUUUAACUACGAUAGAAGACUCUACUACGCCUACAGCCGGCAGAGCUAGAACUCCGUUAUCAAACUCUAAAACUGCUUCCGCUGGUGGAGCUCGAACAACAUCUUUGGUGUCAUCUUCGCCUCGUGGUGGAGCUUCAUCAUUGUCUAAUUUGCCUUCCAUUGAUACAAUCUAGGACUCCAAGGAUACAAAUUCAAGAUGAAAUCAAAUCAAAAUCGCGAUUUCGCCAAAGUAAGAAUUAGGGAUUUGGUUUUUGGAAAUUAGGGAUUUUGAAAUCAAAAUGGGAAUUUCUGUUUCAGUUUAUGAAACGACAUUGUUUUAGGCAUUAACAGAAAAAAUUAACGUCUGCUUACAGGGGUUAUCGGAUCUGUUAAUGCAAGUUAACGUCUCGGGGAUUUUGGUCAGGUCAACUUUAUGUUUUGUGUUAAAUGGCGGGUCAACGUCUUUAUCAUGUUUUAUUUGGCCGACCUAAAAGUUCACGUAUAAAAUGGCCACUUUUGAAAGUUCACGUAUAAAACGACAUUUUUCCCUUUUCAAAAACCUAAUUUAUUUCGCAUAAUUAUUGUUCGUUUUGAAAAGUAGGUUUUGAUUUAAUAUUAAAUUUAUUCGGGGAAAAAGAAUUAUACAUUUACAAGUAGGAAAAAUGGGUAAAAAAAACCUCACCUUUCCCAAAUACAUUUAAAAAAACCUCAACUUUUUGUAGGUUUUUAAACCCUCACCUUUUCAAAAAUGGUAAAAUAACAAUUAGCAUUAUUAAACCAAAUAAAUACAAAUUAAAUACUAAAUAAACUAUUAUAUUAAGACAUAAAAAACAACAUAAUUUAUAAUCUAUCUUUUCCAAAUUUGAGUUUAGGAUUUUUUUUCUUCUAGAAUUUAGUUGUUUUUUGUGAUAUAAAAAAUAAGUUUCAUUGCCAUUAGAAAUUGGUAUGUAAACUAAAACAAUUUAUAACAUAGCACAUUUUAUUUUAUUUGUGUUCAACUAUGUUCUAACCUUUGAAGUUUUGGAUUUAAAAUGGAUAAAAUUUAUUAACACAAAUUUGAUCUAAACUUGAGUGACCUAAUAUUUGUUCUAAACUUGUGUGAUCAAAACUUUAUUCUAAACUUAAGUGUCCAAACCAAAUAAAAUUUUAUUAAAUAUAUUUUAUAUUUAGUUAUUACAAAAUUAGUUUAGUUUUACGUUGAUGAAUUUCUUGAACUCAACCAAAUUAAUCUUGUUUCAGUUCACUGCAUAUGUAGAAGAAUAUAUAUCUAUAUAUAUAUACAUAUAUCAUACCUAAAAUAAAAUAAUUAUUUUUAUCCAAAAUUUAAUUAAACUUACACUCGAAACAAAAUAAAUAAACUUUGAAUAGACUUUGGAUAUGUUAUCUUCAGUAUGAAACCAAUUGUCUGAACCAAAUUUAAAUUGUUUUCACAUAAAACAUUUUACUAGAAGAAAAUAUUUAAGAGCUAUGUCUUUGGUUAGAUUAGAAUCGACAUAUUUCGUUUUCAAGAUUGUUUAGUGGUAGUUUGUUGUUUUGCGUCAAGUUUUUUUUAAUGUUUUCUUUUCCUAUUUUUGUCGGGUUCAUCUCUUGCUUUUGGACCGGUCAAUCUAUAACUUUUCACCUUUAUAAUAAUAGGUAAAGCGGUUGUGUGACUCUUUCAUUUUCCUCUACUCAAGUUUAAGACUAAAUCUGGUCAAAUUUUUAUUAGACUAGUUAUGAUGGUUUGUUAUAAACCAUUUCACAACUGUUGAAAAAAUUAUUUCCACUACAAUGGUUUAUUGUAAUCGAAAAGUAAGUGAGAUGGCAAAUUUAUCAACACUCAUGAGAGUAGAAGAAAGAAGAUAAGUGUGACAAGUGUUAUAUUUUGAUUGGUUGCUUUUUUUUUUUGGACAAAAGCUUGUUUUUAUUCAAUUAAGAGAGAAACAAGUACAAAGGAACAAGGAUUCUAAGAUCCCAAAGUUUAAAGGACAACAAAGGUAGGCAUUCCCAACACCAUAAGAAGAAAAGCUAACACACAAAUAAGGUACAUCAACAAUGGUUCCAUGAGAGCUAUAAUCCAAACACUUGAAGGGAAUUUGUUACUUUUAAGAUCAAGGAUUGUUGACAAAUCUUCCACGAACAAAGUAGUGGAUGAGAGUAUGGUUACUGUCAAAAGACUUAGUAACGUUAACAAGGGCGCCAAAGACAUGAAUCUCGUCGGGACGAGAAGUACUACACCAAGUAGUGCUUUUGCAAAGGUUCGAACAAGGUUUUGGUAAAGGAAGGAGGAUCGUCGAGGCUUAGAAAGAUUGAUGCGAGACCGUAACAGAACAGGUGGGUCCUCUCUCCCAAGAAGACCAAGGAGAUUAAGGAAUUCCACACAAAGCUUGUAGUCGGUUUGCCACAUGAAGAAAAGGCCAGACAUGAGGAAAUUGAGUAGAUAUCACUUUGAGGCACUAGUCAAUAGGGAGGGAUCUCUCACAAGAGAAUUGAGAAGUUCAUGUUGAAGCUUGAUCCAAACCCGGGGAGUAAUGGUGAAUGGGAGGUUCUUGAAGUUGGUCGAUAUAGUUGUCAGUAUGAAAUACUUUGAUAGAGAGUUUUGGUGACUAGCGUCACAUCUCCGACAGAUUGGACUAAGAAACACUAGACCAUGAAUCUUCAAAACGGAAUCAUAAAACAUUGCCCUAGCUAAACCUAGCACCAAGGUUCUCAGAUAAUAUUUGUAGGAGCAUAUCAACGAGGGUGAUUCGUCAUUCAAGUGGUGUCCCUAACCCCUCAAAAUAAAGAAACGAUGUCUACAUUGGGAUAGACUCGGCAAAUUGCAGAUGGAGGAAUACCUGGAUUUUUGUGAUAAUAGGUUUGGGUCGCAAUUUAUGGGCUUGGGCCGCGAGGGAAAUGGGCCAACAUUGGAGACAGGGCCCAUCAAAGAAAACCCUCGAUUCCAGAUUGUUGGGCAAGGAGCGUUGGGAGUGCGGCGGCUACGGUAGAGAGGUACGAAUUGCACAAUUGAAGCAGACGUCUCUGAUGUAAAUAGAGUUAGGGUGAACAAGCUGCAUGACGGGUCCGGCGCUGAGGCUAUAACAACGGCUAAUGGUUUGGCAAAAGAACGUCGGAGAAGCCUUAGGGAGCCGAAAGGUCCCGCAGAUCUAGUAACGAUGAGGAGGCGGAGACAAGGCUCAGGUUGGAAGGAUUGGUCGCCUAUGAAAUUGAAAGCUUCACAAACUGUUUUCUUUGAUUCGCAAGGUUUGGACAGAGAGUGUAGCUUGCUCGGAGGCCACAUUUUGCCUAUGUCGGAGAAUACUGCUUCAAAGAAGAUUCAACAGCAAAGAAGAACUCGAUAGAUUUGGAUUAAAAGGUUUGCAACAGAAGAAAACUAAAUUACAACGAAGAAGUAGAUGAAAGAUUGAGGAAAUAGCUCGAGAGAUGAGAGGGAGGUUCCGAUGCCGGCGAGCAUUUGCUCCACCGACGUCGGAAAGAUGAAGGGAGAUAGUUUCCUCGAUAUUAGUGUCUAUUAGCUCCACCGACGUUGAAAAGAUGAAGGGAGAUAGUUUCCUCGAUAUUAGUGUCUGGGAGAGAAACUCUUUAAAAUCUUAGUCUCGCAAAAAAUUUGAUUGGUUGCUUUGAUUUCUAUAUUUUUUUUCUUAAUUACAUAACUUUAAUUAUUUCAUAAUAUUUAUAAAUAAACAUAUCAAAAUUUACAAUUUUUCAUUCUCUAUAAAUAAACACUAUCUUCAUUUGAUUUGGACAAAACAAAAAUAAUCUUUCUUUAGAAAAAAAAAAGUUUAGUCUCCAAUAAACUUUUGUUUUAGCUUUAAAUAUACUUUUAUCUAAAUGGAUCCAAACAAUAACCUUUCAACACCCAAAACUUUUCUAAUUACUUUUAAACUAUCCAAAUCCCAACAAUUAUUAGUUGCAGGUGUGUCAGAAGGACAUUGAACGAGCAUUUGGAGUGUUGCAGGCUCUAUUUAAAAUUAUUCGCGAACCAGCUCGACUGUGGGACAUAGCCGAUUUGACUAUCAUCAUGAGGUCGUGUAUCAUAUUGCAUAAUAUGAUUGUUGAUGAUGAACGACAGACGUAUACUCAACAUUGGACUGAUUAUGAUCAAUCUAAGGCAAGUGGGCCGAGUACAUAACAACCAUUCUCGACCAAAGUGCUACUUGUAUUUGCAAAUCAUCUGCGUGGUAGAUCCAAGUUGCGUGAUUCAAAUGUACACCGCAAAUUGCAAGCAAAUCUAGUCAAACAUAUAUGGGCACAAUUUGGAAUUUUCCAUGGUGAAUGAGAUUUUUAAGUUUGUGAGUUGAGAUUAAUAUACUAAUUAAGUUACAAAUGUUUCCUUACUUGUUGUGUGCGUAUUGUAUUGCAUUUUAAAUCUAUGUUCAUUGUAUGUGUUUUAGUAAUGAUUAUUUUUAUUUCUAGUUUUUAUUAUUUAUAAAGUUUUUUUAAAAAAUAUAUACAAAUAUUAAAACAAAAACUAUUUUAUAAAAUUUAUUUAAUAUUUAAUUAUUUAAAUUUAAUUUAAUAUUAACGGUGAUUAAUAAUAUUUAAUCACAAAAAACAUAAACAUAAAUAAAAUGAAAAAUAUAAAAUAAAAAUUGUGGGAUAAGGUGUUGUAAUUUUAUCAAACAAAACUAUUGUAGAGGGAAAAAAUUAUGUAGGUGUGGAAUAACGAUGUGGAAGAGAGAGAAAACGAUGUGAAGUGUUAAAAGGGAAAAAAAGGGUGUUGUAAAUGGGUAACCAUUGUAGAUAGUCUUAGGAAGUGAAUGGUGACUUUAAGAUUUGCAGAUUUCGAAAGAAAAAGAAAAAAAUGCACUAAUGUCACCAAUCAGACAUAUGUGUGUAAUUUGUUUUUUUUUACAGAUAAUUUGGCACACACAUUUCAAAGCAUGUUAAUACACUAGGGAUAAAAGAAACACACUCUACUAUCGUCCAAGGGAUAUUUGGCAGCGCUUAACUAAAAACUUGCAUUACACAGUAAGUAAUAAAUCAAUUAUUUAAUUAAUAAUAAAAUGUACCUAUAAAUCAGAUCAUGUACUCUAAAACUAUUCACACAUUACAACCAAAAACAACAUCCUCUCAUAUUUCGCUCCAAUCCAAAAGAAAAAAAAAACAAUCUCCCACCCUUUCGUCAUAUAUUACAACAUUUAAAUGUAAAUUACUUUUACUAUACUAGUAUAAUAAUUACUUAUAACAAAAUAUUUCUAUGUAAUUAAGGUCUCUUUAUAAAUAAAUAGGACUGAAAUUAAGUAUAUAAAAUUGUUCAAAAUUUAGUAAAUCAUAAAAUGUUAUAUUUAUGUACAUAUUUAUAUGACUAUGUUUUAUUUUUAUAUUCAUAACAUCAGUAUUAAAUUUUAAUCAAAUCAUAGAAAUUUUUAAAUAUGUAUAAUAAAUGGUUGUGAUAGUAUUUACUAAUCAAGAUGUAUAUAUAUUUAUUAAAAAGAGAAAGGAAAAUUUUGAAGAUAUACAAAAUUACUAUUUUUUUAAAUUAUAGUUUAGUAUAUUUAUAUUAGAUGGUAAUAUGAUAUUAUGAAUUUUUUCAAAACUUAAUUAAAUCAAUUAAUUUAAUCAUAUCAAAAGUUACUUAAAUCAAUUCAUUUCCAUCAUUAUUAAAUUUUAAACAAAUCAUAGAAAAUUAAAAUAUGAAAAGAAAUGGUUGUGAUAGUACAAUAAAGUGAUUCCGAGUUCCCUUUGCCUCCGUCGGAGAAGUAUUAUCUAGUUGAUUAUGACUACCCAAACAAAUAAGGAUUUCUAGUUCCUUAUAGAUCGUCAGGAAAUCGAGUUGUGAGAUAUCAUAUGUCUCAAUUUUAUUUUGGUCCUCCUCCUAGAAACAAACAUGAACUAUUUAAUAUGUCAUGCAUCUUUACGUUCUGUUAUCGAGAGAACUUUUAGAGUUUCGGAAAAGAAAUGGAGGAAUCUUUUUCAUUUUCCUAGAUAUAAUAUUCAUAUUCAAAAAAGAGUGGUAAUGGUUAUAGUGUGAUUACAUAAUUUUAUCAGAAUUUCAAACUUCUCAGAUGUAGAUUUUCUUGAUGUAAUGACAGAGACAAAUAUAAACUACAGAGAUUAUGAUCAUCAUUUAGAUGACAUAGAAGCAACAGAGAUAACAAAUGGAGAACAUAUGAUGCCAAUAAAAGACAAUAUUGCAAAUAUGUUAUGGCAAAAUCAAAAUAAUAUAAAAUAUUUUUUAAUGUUUUUUAUGAUGAAAUUAGUUAAGGCAUGUAACAAUAUGUAUGUUACAAAAUUAAAUUUAUAUUUUGAUCAAUUUUUGUAUUAGUGGUUUAUAAAUAUCUGUUAUUGUUUAUUUAUUAACACAAAAAAUUAAUUAAUUAUUAAUAUAUAUAUAUAUAUAUAUAUAAUUUAUAAUUCGCACCGCAUGUAGUUUUUUCACCAAUCAAACAUUAUUUUGUACCGCUUAUUUUGAAUAAACCGUACUUAUCCCGCAAAUAUAUUUCUCCUACACGAACCGCAGUUUAACCGUACUACACUUCAAUAACGCUUUCCCCGCACUAUAAAAACCACGGUUACCAUUCGGACCCUUAGAGCUUGUUUAAAAAAUUGCUAGGCGUUAACCGGGCAUUCGGGGACUUAUCGAUAUUAGUUUUUAACAUUUUAAUAUUGAUAUAUACAUAUAAAUUAAAUAUCGGAAUAUAUGACAAUGGAAUUAAUUUGGUUGAGUGUCAUCUUUUUUUAUUUGGAAAUUGCACAAUCUAUACUCUGAGGAGUCGUUAUUUAGGUUCCCAAAAAAGCAACUGUUUGGCUGGUACUGUGGAUGUGGAAAUUGCGCAUGUAUGAAAAUAUAUUGUGUGAGACGGCUUCAUUAAAAUCUUAUUAGAUUAUUAUUGUUCUUCGCAUGUGGUUUUUGUUUUCUAUAUGUUUUUUAUUUAUUGAUUUAUGGGGAAACCAAUCAUCAUCAUCAUUUCCCUUCCAAUACGGAGAGCUUGGCAAUGCGAAAGAUUUGGAUGGCAAAUGUUUGGUAUAAAUUUUUCGACCCGUUAAUAUUAUAAUCUUGAUAUUAUUUUUGUUAACGUCAUUAAUCUUUUGCAGACGUAUGUGGAGCCUAUCAUUUUCCCUGACGUGGAGAUGAACCCGAAAGAAGAUUUAACCUGGUCUGACGAUGAGGAAGAUGUGAUGGGUUGAUAAUAUCGUCAUGUUAGUUGGUAAAGGGAUUACUUUUCAGCUCCCUCCAUUCUGAUUUGCCAACUCCUACAAAUGCUAAGGUUAGUUAACUGAUAUUUAUUUUAUAAUCGUUGUGUUUAGUAGUUUAGCAACUAAGUAUUAUAUGUGAGUAGCUAUAUUUUUUCUUUAUUUUUGUAGCUUUUUUGCCUCUGUUUCAGAGUUUUCAAUUAUCUCCAAGAUGUUGCAGGUAAACAAAUCUGUUGAGGUCCUUGAUCAUCGAGAUGAAGAACCGGUUUAUUUAUUUACACUCCAUUUUUGUUUAACUUUACUGUACAUUUUUGUUAACCCCCUCCAUAUUUUAUUAGCCGGUAAGAUUGUUAUCAUUCAUUUUCUUUUUAAUUAUUUUAUUCUGUCUUGCAGACCAAAAUCAAUCCUUCAAAAUUAACCACUACAGUCGAGGAAGAAAAGGAUUCUAAGGAGGUUAGAUAAUUCUUCCUUGUUUUUAACUUUCAUUUGGUUAAAUCCUUAACCGGUGAUAUAUUGCAUGUUUCAAUUUUAGGAUUUUACCACUCCACCCCUGUCAACCCAGUCUCGCUCUAACGUGAAGGUUAUCUUCUAACUAUGAUGUUAUCGCUUAUUGUUUAUAUUCAUCUUCCACGUUUGUAGGAUGUGGUGUGCCCUGCAAGUGUGUAUGCGGAUUAGCUGUUAAAAAAAAUAUUUCCAAGACGCAAGAAAAUUCGGGCUGCCCCUUCUUCCGCUGUGUAAGCAAAAGAGACGUGAGUUAUUUCCUCUCUAAAAACGAUGUUAUUAGCUUUUCUGGUAGCUACACGUUUUGCUAGUUAACCUAUCAUUCUUUUUGUAGGGACAUUUGUUUAAGUGGGUUGAGGAUGUUGUAUAUGAAGAAGUGGAAGAUGCAUUGGUUAGACUUGUAUCGAUUUAAAAUGAGGUAAAUGAUUAAAAGCGCAGGUCAUCCAGUUUUGUGUUGCUAUAAAAGAGUUGAAGGCAGAUUCAGUGUCCGACCAGUUGGUGAUGCUUAUGUUGAAAGUGGGCUUGCUUUUCAGAUUUGUCUUCUCUCUUUUUGUAGCUUUUGUUAUCGCAACACUUCUUAAAAUAGUCGAUAUUAAGUUCAUUAGUAGUUUUUAAUGUCUAUCUUUGUAAUGUUUCAUAGUUUCUAUAAUUCCCUAUGUUUAAGAUAUUAUAUUUGUUAGUCGUUAACCAUGUAAUAUAUACCUUGUAUCAAUCUUCUGUCUAUAUAAUAUUUUAUAACUUCUCAUUUAUUUCUUUAUUUUUGUACCAUUUGCACAUUCUUUAGGCGAUAUUUAUAACCAUUUUAAAACUUAUCUUUUAUUUUAAUUUUUUGGUAGCAUUUUCACAUUUAUUAAGCGAUAAUCUAAUUCUUAGCCAUCCAGCUGUGGUCCUAUCUUCUUAUUUUAGGACGCUAGUUAUCUUUUUUCUUAGUAUUGCAAAUUUUAAGAAGAGGGUCUAUAUCUUGGUACAUAUUUUGUUACAGAAUAUCAUUCAACAUAAACAUAUAUUUAACAUUCAGAAGGAAGGUUUGUUGGGAUCGUCCCUGAUUGCAGAUAAUACACAUUUUUUGGAUCAGUAAUUGUACGUAUAUACAUUGAAAAUUUUCUGAUCUCCGAAUUCUUGUUAUUUAUAAAACAUGACUUCUCGCGAGUCUUCUAAGCACGGAACCAUCCGUUCAAACCCUCCCAUAGUCCAAAAAAACAGUCCUCUCCUUCCAUCUUCAUCCGCAAAAAAAAAAUUUUCCUCGUCGCUUACUUGCCUCCAUGUACCACAUUAAUUUUUUGAUUAGCAGUCAUUUUUCUUUUUAAUCAGAUAACACCUACUUUAUCGACACUAGUUUCUUCAUACACCAUGGUAAAAGUUUUGUUAUCGGCUGCUUUUUCAAAAAAUGAUAAGGAGCUAUAUAUAUAGAUAGCAAACCAAAGAAAGUUGCCCUAACUACACACCUGAGACUUAAAUGCUCUAUGUUUCUAUCUUCUUUCAAUAUUUAUCGUUUGCAGUGGUUUAUAUGUUAGUUGUUUCAGUUCUUGUUGUUGCAGUAAUGUCGAUAUGGAGAUAAUAAAUAGGCAAACAUCUAUCUUCCAUAUCUGCACAAUCGAUUAUGUAUCAUAUGUAAUCAUUACUUUUUACAUUUUUUUAUUAGUUUGACCAGGGGGCGCAAUAUCUUCGAAGAUUACAGAGCAUUUAAUGCUCGUGAUCUUGCGGAAGGAGACUAGUGAUCCUCUGCUUGUAUAGGAACAAUUAUGUCAUAUUUAAUUUGCAAGAAAAUUUUCACCUAAAUAACGAAAUGAUAUGUAUAGAUCCUUAAUUAUUUUCUCCUGUAGGUAUAUAUAUUUCAUUCACUCUUUUUAGUUUAAUGAAAUAGUAAAUGACAAUAUUAUCCUCAUCUUAUUCUUUAGAUCUUAGCGACUGCAACCCUAAUUUUUGUCGUAUCGUUUUUCACAAUUCUUAUCAUUUUUUCUUACCCUUUAAUGAUUUAUACCCAAAUAUAAUAGAUCUACAACCUAAAGACCGAUUUAAAACUUGUAUUUCUUUUUAAAAAAUGAGUUUUUCUAAGAGUUUUCAAUUUUUUUUGGCGAUUUCAACAAAUCGAGGCGGUGGUGGUCUGAAGAGCGCUUAGUUGGACGAGUAAUCGGUUAGACGACCAAUUUUUAGAACAAGGGUCUUGACAAUCCACAAUGCAAGUGUUGAAUUAUUUAUUCAAUUGUUGAACCUUCACAUUGCACAUGUUGAAUAGUUUAAAAAAUCUUACGUGGAUUCAACUUGGUUGAAAGUAUUCAAUAUGUUAUAAAGAAAAAAUUUGGGCCCGCGCAUGCCACAUGUCAAUAAAUGAGUAAAGGAUGUGUUUCAAACUCGGAGAAAGGAGAGCGUAUUGUCCAAACCUUUUUCUUUUUACUUUUAUUUUUUUUUGCAAAAAGAAGAGAUUAUUGAGAUGCUCACACUUGCUAUAUUUUCAUUAGAUAUUAAGAUUUUGGAGAUUUUAUUUCUAUCUUAUUUAUUUACAAUCAAUUAUUACAUACCAAACAAUUUUUUUUUAAAAACUUAUAUUUAUAUGAAAAUUUAUAAAUUUUUAAACUCUAGAAAUAGAGACUUAGUUCAUUUUAUUUGGACACAUAAAAAAUAUUAUUUCUACCAUAAUUUUCUUAUUCUUCUCCCAUAAACUCUUGGUUAUAUCCUUUUUUUUUAUGGAUUCUAAUAAAAUCCCUAUGCAAAAUUAUACUAAUUUUUCCUUUCCCUAUCCUAAUUCCAACAAUAAUCCUACGCAAAAUUCGACUAAUUACGUUUUUCCUUAUCAAAAUCCCAACAAUUAUCAAUUUCAAAAUCUAUCUUUCAACCAACCUCAAAAUUUCCCAAAUUAUGAUUUUCUACCAAAUUUUUCUAUGCUCUCAUCUGUUCCAAACUAUAAUUCAUAUUAUAGAUCGAUUCCAAAUUCAUCUCAACCACCUCUUUAUGAUUUGAGGUUGUGAUUUUCAUUGACAUCAAAAAGAAAAAAAAAAAAAAUAUCACAGAAAGGAGACAAUGAAUAUGAUUAAUAUUUAAUUGGUAAACUAUUAGAUUAGGCGGGGGUUUUCUCAAAAAUUGUCUCUUUUGUAGGACUGUUGUCACCAAUAUUUUCAGUAUCUUUUACUUUUAUUAAUUUUUAAUAAAAUUUAUGAUAAUAAAAAAAAUGAAAAUAAUCGUAAAUAAAAGAAAAAAAGAGAGUUGUGGGUUCUUUCUUUUUAGUUACCCACGCAUCGCUGUCGAAAGAUUAAUUAUGAAAUCAGAUGUUUGGUUGAGUAUAAUAGUAAUGCAUGUCAUUAGUUUAAAUUUAUAAUAUUAAACAAAAUUAUAAAUAAGAUAUUUGAACAAAACAAAAUUAAGUUAGUUUAAACGUUAAUUGGAAACCAAAUAAGAGAUCUGUUAGGAAAAAAGAAAAUAUAUACCAAAUAAGAGAUACAGGAAAUCAGAAAUUUUAAUAUUAUGUGUUUGAAUCUUCUCACCAAAAAAAAUUAUGUGUUUGAAUCUUCUCACCAAAAAAAAUUAUGUGUUUGAAUCUAAUUGAUUAAUGGACACGGUCUAGUAAAUUAUAAUUUUUUUGACCCGCGAAAUAUAGUGAAACAGAGUUUAUCUCUAUACAACAAGACAAAAAAGAAGUUCUAAGAUCAAACUCUGUUUGAUAUACAAAAAUUAUAUUGUAAAUGAAAAUGGAACUUUGAGAUUGAUCUACAACAAGUCUGCUACACUCAUCACAAACGUAAUGUGAUUAUACACAUCCACGUUGGCCGCAAAAACUAAGGAUCUUGUAUCAUCUGGAUCAACAGACAAAAUCAUAUUGCAAUAGUCAGCAGCAUCACGUGCGAGACUAAGGUCGUCAUCAGUCUCAUCAACAUCACCAUUGCCCAUUGACCGCUGUGCCUUCAUUAGCCCCUCGACAACAGAAUCUUUAUAGUUCUCCAUACAACUCUUGAAACAUGGCUUCUUAGGAGAACCAAUGAGAAACUGUGUGUGCUCUGCCUUCUCCAUGGCUAGAGAAAGAGCCGCCUUAGCCAACUCUAAUACAGUCGAUGCGGAUUUCGUGCGAUGAUCUAACGUUAGGGAUUUGAUACAUUCUUCUUCUAGGGACGAGAAUGACGCGGUGCCUUUACAAGCCUUUGAUAUCAGUAAUGAUGGA
rnacentral:lncRNA from 1 species